UUUAAUUGGAAAUUAAUAAUUUCAUUUAAAUUAUUAACAAUAAUUUGCCUCUAUUUUGGCUUCAAUUAA
rnacentral:tRNA from 1 species